CGCGUGAGCGAAGAAGUAUUUCGGUAUGUAAAGCUCUAUCAGCAGGGAAGAAAUGACGGUACCUGACUAAGAAGCACCGGCUAAAUACGUGCCAGCAGCCGCGGUAAUACGUAUGGUGCAAGCGUUAUCCGGAUUUACUGGGUGUAAAGGGAGCGCAGGCGGUACGGCAAGUCUGAUGUGAAAUCCCGGGGCUCAACCCCGGUACUGCAUUGGAAACUGUCGGACUAGAGUGUCGGAGGGGUAAGUGGAAUUC
rnacentral:rRNA from 1 species